rnacentral:rRNA from 1 species
GACGAACGCUGGCGGCGUGCUUAACACAUGCAAGUCGAGCGGUAAGGCCCUUUCGGGGGUACACGAGCGGCGAACGGGUGAGUAACACGUGGGUGACCUGCCCUCAGCUCUGGGAUAAGCCUGGGAAACCGGGUCUAAUACCGGAUAUGACUCCAUGACGCAUGUUGUGGGGUGAAAGCCUUGUGCGGCUGAGGAUGGGCCCGCGGCCUAUCAGCUUGUUGGUGGGGUGAUGGCCUACCAAGGCGACGACGGGUAGCCGGCCUGAGAGGGCGACCGGCCACACUGGGGACUGAGACACGGCCCAGACUCCUACGGGAGGCAGCAGUGGGGAAUCUUGCGCAAUGGGCGAAAGCCUGACGCAGCGACGCCGCGUGAGGGAUGACGGCCUGGUG